ANAGUUUGAUCCUGGCUCAGGACGAACGCUGGCGGCGUGCCUAACACAUGCAAGUCGAGCGGAGGUAGUUUGAUGGUAACUGAUAGCUACUUUAGCGGCGGACGGGUGAGUAACACGUGGGCAACCUGCCUUGAAGANGGGGAUAACGCCGAAAAUCGGUGCUAAUACCGCAUAACAUGCAUUAACCGCAUGGUUUGAUUUUUCCAAAAGGAGAAUCCCGCUUUUAAGAUUGGGGGCCCCCNCCGCUGAUUACUUAUUUNGUUAGGUUUAAAGCUUUACCAAGCAANAAUUCAUUACCAACUUAAAGGUUUAACCGCCNCCCUGAACUAAACGGCCCNANNCCCCUCCGGAGGCCCNUUNGGAAUUUUNCCUNGGGGAACCNACCCNCCCCCNUANAAA
rnacentral:rRNA from 1 species